rnacentral:rRNA from 1 species
AGCAGUAGCCACGGUAAAACGAAGGGGGCUAGCGUUGCUCGGAAUGACUGGGCGUAAAGGGCGCGUAGGCGGCGGCCAAAGUCAGGCGUGAAAUUCCCGGGCUCAACCUGGGGGCUGCGUUUGAUACUUGGUUGCUUGAGUGGGGAAGAGGGUCGUGGAAUUCCCAGUGUAGAGGUGAAAUUCGUAGAUAUUGGGAAGAACACCGGUGGCGAAGGCGGCGACCUGGUCCAUUACUGACGCUGAGGCGCGAAAGCGUGGGGAGCAAACAGGAUUAGAUACCCGCGUAGUCCCUGUCUCUUAUAA